CGGGGUGUAGUAUAGUGGUAGUACGUACGUCUCGGGUGCGUAUGGCCCGAGUUCGAUUCUCGGCACCCCGA
rnacentral:tRNA from 2 species